rnacentral:misc_RNA from 1 species
UUUCCGUAGGUGAACCUGCGGAAGGAUCAUUAUUGUAUAACCGAGGUGCGAGGGCUGUCGCUGACCCGAAAGGUCGUGCACGCCCGAGUGCCCUCACACACAUCCAUCUCACCCCUAUGUGCACCACCGCGUGGGUCCCCCUUUGGCUUGUUCGGAGGGGGGCUUACGCUUUCACACAAACUUUGUAUGCAGUGUAGAAUGUAUUUUUUGUUUUUGCGAUCACGCAAUCAAUACAACUUUCAACAACGGAUCUCUUGGCUCCC